rnacentral:rRNA from 1 species
UACGGAGGGGGCUAGCGUUGUUCGGAAUUACUGGGCGUAAAGCGCACGUAGGCGGCUUUGUAAGUUAGAGGUGAAAGCCCAGGGCUCAACCCUGGAAUUGCCUUUAAGACUGCAUCGCUUGAAUCAUGGAGAGGUGAGUGGAAUUCCGAGUGUAGAGGUGAAAUUCGUAGAUAUUCGGAAGAACACCAGUGGCGAAGGCGGCUCACUGGCCCGGUACUGACGCUGAGGUGCGAAAGCGUGGGGAGCAAACAGG